rnacentral:tRNA from 1 species
GCAAAUGACUCUUAAUCAUUGGGUCGAGGGUUCGAGUCCCUCCGAGGUCA